CUGACCGUGGUCAGUGAAGAUGCUCAGCAGCAGUGUCUAAAUGCAGGGCACCUCCAGCCCAUCUCCAGUGCCAUCAUACUUGAUGGAAGUAUCAUAAUGGACAAUGUUAGAGACUUUCCCCAUGCAGUGUGCCUCAUGUUUGGGCUUAUCCUCCUGAGUCCCAGCAAUACAUUUUUGUCCUCUGUGGAGGACAUAGGUUUUUUGUUCAUAACUCUGAAACCAUAUAUGCCACUGUGUUAAAUCCUGUUGGUCCUUAGAGAGGACAUCCUGGGCUCUCCAAUGAUAUGACAUGUGUGGGGGUGGGGCUUUUUUAGAAUUUUCUUCCUGAUUCUUCAAAAUGGCUGCCAUCCCUGUGAGCACAUUUUGUCGAAAGAAGAAAGAUUCCUGCCUGUGCUGGAAGACUGGAAGAGGUUGUCUGUGUGGACUGGCCACCAUCAAAAUACUUUGAGCAGUACAUUGACAACAAAGUUUUUGAGGACAUGUCCUUUUGCACAAACCAGAGACAGAUUCAGGUGUCAGGCUCAAGUCUGAAUACAACACCUAAGGAGAUUAAGACCUUCUUUGGAGUCUCGGUGUACAUGGCAUGCCUUGGUUACCCAACAAUCAAAAUGUAUUGGGCCAAAAAAACAAGAGUGCCAAAAGUUGCCAAUAGUCCAUGACAAGGGAUCGCUUUUUCAAGAUCAGAUGUUCUCUGAAAAUCACUAAUGAUCUUGAUGUAACUGAAGAGGAGAGGAAGCUAAAUAUGCUUUGGAGAGUCAGUCCACUUCUGAAGAAGGUGCAACAAGGCUGCCUAAACCUACCCAGGCCAGGAAAUGUUUCCAUUGAUGAACAAAUGAUUCCCUUUACUGGUCGAUGUCCAGUCCGUCAGUUCGUUCCUGGCAAGCCAAAUCCAACCGGAUUGAAGGUGUUUGUUCUCACUACUCCAACUGGAAUUGUAUUGGAUUUUGAAGUGUACCAAGGAAAAAAAAGACCUUUGUCGGCAGAGACUCAGGACUUGGAAUAGGAGCAAAUGCAGUUCUUCGGUUGACUGAGUCCAUUCCCAGGGGAACUCACCUGUACUUUGACAGGUACUUCACCUCACCUGAAAAAUAGACUCCCAAAGGAUUGUAACAUUACAUCUGAUAAAGAGUUGUUGAAACAAGGAAGAGGCUCCUUUGUGACAAGGAAGCAUCCUGAGCUGGCUGUGACAAAAUGGGUUGACAAUAAACCUGUACUCAUGGCAUCUACAGUGCAUGUAAUAGAGCCCCAGGAUACCCGGACCAGAUAGUCACUGAAAGACAAAAGGCAUGUUCAAGUGUCCAGACCUGCAGUGGUGGCAGAGUACAACACCAACAUGGGUGGGGUUGAUAUGUGUGAUAGAAUGCUUAGCUUUUAUAGAAUGGCUAACCGCACAAGGAAGUGGACCGUACGCACAAUCCUACACUUCUUCGAUCUGACCAUCACCAACUCCUAGUUACAGUAUAAGGAAGACCGCCAAGCUUUGGCACGACCUAUGAAGAAAACUCUCCAAUACCAUGACUUCAAACUGCUCUUAGGUGAGGAACUGAUUGCCCAGGGGCAGUCAGGCCAACCAAAUCAAAUUGAAUCUGAUGCGGAAGUGAGAUAAGGAAGUGAGAAAGUAUGGAGCUGUCCAUUUGCCACACAUGAUGGACAAUCCUAAUACUUCCAGGUGCAGAGGAGAAGGGUGCACUGGAAAAACCUACAUAAAGUGCAUCAAAUGCAACAUGUACCUCUGCAUCUCAAAGAAGAAGAACUGCUUUAUGGACUACCACAAACCAAAACAGAACUAACACACCUGAUUAAACUACACUAAUCAGCUUGCUUUUGAUAAGUUGAAUGAGGUGCCUGGAAAUCUGAACCACUGGCUUAAAUGAUGUAGCCGUUUGAAAUUUACAGCACUAAAGAUUGUCAGAGUUCAGAGGUAAAUGUAUGCCUCGAAAUGUGUUAAUAUUUGCCACAAGAGAGUCCCGAUGUCCUCUCCAAAGGACAUACUCUAAAAAAUACUCUUUGAGAUAUUUUCAAUUGUAGUGAUGUUUUUUUCACUCCAAAGAGUCAUGUAGUGUAAAAAAAAAAGAGAUUCAAAAACUUUUUUUUUCUCUUGGUCUCAGGAGAAGAAGCACUCGCCUCAGAGACAGUUGGGGUGCUGACUGUGGUCAGUGAAGAUGCUCAGCAGCAGUGUCUAAAUGCAGGGCACCUCCAGCCCAUCUCCAGUGCCAUCAUACUUGAGGGAAGUAUCAUCAUAGACAACGUUAGAGACUUUCCCCAUGCAGUGUGCCUCAUGUUUGGGCUUAUGUAUGCUCUUCACUUAGAAUACCCAAAAUGCAUGGCGAACACACUCAGAUUUAUUCAAGCAGUCAUGGUUGGAUUGGGAAGCAAAACACUCCCUCCAAAGCUGCUUAGUUUGAAAAACAAACUACUGGAGUAGGCAAGU